GCAAGUCGAACGAGGAGCCUGGUAUUCGUAUCGGGAUUUCCUAGUGGCGAACGGGUGAGUAACGCGUUGGUAAUCUGCCCCAAAGAAGGGAAUAACAGUUCGAAAGGACUGCUAAUACCCUAUGUGAUACUAGAGUUUAGACACUCUUUUAUUAAAGGAGUAAUCCGCUUUGGGAUGAGCCUGCGUCCCAUCAGCUAGUUGGUAGGGUAAUGGCCUACCAAGGCGACGACGGGUAGGGGACCUGAGAGGGUGGCC
rnacentral:rRNA from 1 species